UAUUUGUGAAGGAAGAUAGGCGCAAUGAGUACCUCAUUGCUUAAAAGGGAAGUUGGUGAAAGUCCAACGCGGUCCCGCCACUGUAAAUGGGAGCAACCUGAAUAAAGCCACUGUGAACAACGGGAAGGCUCAGGAAGCAAUGACCAUAAGCCAGGAGACCUACCUACUCUUUCUACACCGA
rnacentral:ncRNA from 2 species